rnacentral:rRNA from 1 species
CUUGAUUCAGGAUGAACGCUAGCGGCAGGCUUAACACAUGCAAGUCGAGGGGCAGCGGGAUGUAGCAAUACAUUGCCGGCGACCGGCGGAUGGGUGCGUAACGCGUAUGCAACCUACCUUAUACAGGGGAAUAACCUUUCGAAAGGGAGACUAACACCCCAUAGUAUUGAUUUAAGGCAUCUUAGAUUAAUUAAAUAUUUAUAGGUAUAAGAUGGGCAUGCGUAUGAUUAGCUAGUUGGUAAGGUAACGGCUUACCAAGGCGACGAUCAUUAGGGGUUCUGAGAGGAAGGUCCCCCACACUGGUACUGAGACACGGACCAGACUCCUACGGGAGGCAGCAGUGAGGAAUAUUGGUCAAUGGGCGCAAGCCUGAACCAGCCAUGCCGCGUGCAAGGAAGACGGCCUUAUGGGUUGUAAACUGCUUUUACAUAAGACUAACCGUAUAUUUGCGAAUAUACCUGAAUGUAUUAUGAGAAUAAGGAUCGGCUAACUCCGUGCCAGCCGCCGC